AGAAGCGGAAGGAGACACCAGCCCCCGAGGGGUGAUGCUGAUCAAGCCCCAGGCACCUGCAGCUUCCCUGAGACCUGCAAUCCCAUCUUCAAACAAUUAACCGCAUUCUACUAAUUCCAGUAAACAACUAUGAGCAUAUGGAUUUGGAAA